ensembl:antisense Gm2479 predicted gene 2479
AAGCAUCGUUCCUCCCUGAUCCCUGCUUCGGUUCCUGCCCUGAUAGAGUGUGACCUGGGAACACAUUCAGCUGGGACCAUGAGGAGCAGCAAAGCCAUCAAUAGAGGUACUUCAGCAGGCGGAAACUCUGAGGCUCCGGUAAGAAAGAAGAAGCCGCUUGCUAAGAAACGAAACUGGCACUGGUACGGGUGGCCAACAAGGGUUAGACUCCAGGCUUCAGAUUCCACGUCAGCUUCAAACAACCCUGUGGCUCCCUCAAGUCGUCCGAAGAUCACGUUGGAUUCACCCGGAGAGUCUCCCCAUUUCAAGAUCUUUGAUUUAAACCACCUCUGUAAAGCCUUUCCUAUCUGGAUCUGAAGGCAUCAUCACUUAGCUUACUAUUUUGGAAGGCCCUUCCGUGGUUAUACUCAGCUCCUCACCUGGGGAAGCUUUAUCUGAUCGACUCCUGCCUCCUCCCUUAUGACUGGGAGCCAUGCCUCAUCUGCCACAAGACAUAACAAGAAUAUGACAUCAACGAACCAGAGAACAAGUUCUCAUCAGACACUGAAUCUGAUGGCUCUGUCUGUCUGUUAGAGAUGCGGAGCCUCGGGAAGCCCAGGCUGGCUUCAAGCUCCAUACACAGCUGAGGAUAACCUUGGGUUUCUGGUCUUGUCUCCACCGGAGUGCUGGGAUUACUGACAUAUGCCAACACACCUGGUCUGUGCCGAGCUUUCAUGGGAGAAACUGGACCAAUUGAGCCAUCGGCAAUUCUGCCUUUUGUGUUAAAUCUCGAGGUUCUAAAACAGAAUUAGAUUUGCUUUGCUAAGCCUUGUAGUCUUGUGGUAGUUUGCCGCAGCAGCCAAAUGGGCUAAGCAGGCUGCUGCUUG